UGUCAUAUAUGCUUCGCAUCAAGCUAAUUAACAGGGGCGGACUGUCGAGAAAAAUUUCUAUUUCUGUAAUCCUGAUAAAACCAGAAAUGAAUUUUUUAUAGAAUGAGGAAAGAAAGUAGAAUUGUGAAGCAAAAUUUUUUCUAGAACUAUAUUUUGAUCUUCUGAAAGGUCUACUUUCCUCUUCAAGUAUGAUCCUGUAAGCCGGGGUUUCCCUUCUUCCUUCCGUAUGUAUAUUACAUGAAAAUUAUUCUAUAGAGGAGACUAUAGAUUCAAGAAAGGUGACGUCAUGAAUCUUGAGCAUGAAGAAAUAGAACGUGAAAAAUUGAUCUUUCAGUUGUAGAAUUGUGAAAUUAAUGUAAGUAAAUACGUGCUUUAUCAAUUAAUCUUAAGAGGUCAUUAAUAGCCUUCGAUUGACUGUAGCGGUUCGAUUAUUUUAAUAUGCAUAGUAUCUUAACGUUAUCUAAUAAUUCAUACGAAGCACUCGAAGCAUAUAUGAACAAUAAAUUAAAUGAAAUAGUAAUUGCAAAAGUUUGUUCUGUUCGAAAAACGAUACAUUAGACCCUAUGACUUAAAACUUCCAUUCUAAAUUGUACAUAAUAAAAAAAGGAAACAAAUUAUUAUGUAUUUUAAAAAUUCACGGAAGACACUACUGUUACUAUUUAAUAUUUAAUUGCUGCAGUUGUGAGCGAUUGUUGGUACGCUUCCGUGGAAAAGUGAUUCAAUCUUCAACAAAUGUGGAAAACAGCUCGAUAUUGCGUGUGUAACCGACGCAAUCUAGAUUUGGCCAAGCGAAGCGGGGACACCCCGAUUGCUCCGACUGUUUAAUAACAUGUCAUACAUUACACGUAAUCUCGCGAAAACAUCAGAUGCUGCGAUGACAUUCUUAUGAAAUCGAUUUGAAUAAAUAUAAGUUCGCUCAAGUUAAUUUGGAUAUAUGUUUCAAUUAGAAUUUUGAUUGAAUUCAAAAUUCAAUUAGAAUUUUGAAUUCAAUCAAAAUUCUAAUUGAAUUGAAUUAAUUUCCACGUGUUUUUGUUAACUAAUUACUUCCACGAACGAAUAAAUAAACAUAGAAUAUUAUAGAAUAUUAAUGAAGUUCCACGAAAUUACAAAUUUCUUACUGGAUUUGAAUUUUACAAUCAGAUUUACGAGAUAAUUAUUUCCACGAGUGGUCGGAUGCGAGACAUGGGAAAAUCCUGCGACUUUGUUUGAGUUCCCAUUUAAUGAUCUUUAUCUUUACAAUUUUUUCUAUUUCAGUUACAAAUUUUCCUUAAUGCGUAAUAAUGUACAUUUAUUAGAUUUACCUUUCAUAUUAUUCAUAUUAUGAAUAAUAUGAAAUCAAGCAUUCGUAAUAAUUACGAGAUUCUGAUGUUAACUAUUCUAAAUAAAAGAAGGAAUGUGUUUUUAAAGUAAAA